GAUGAACGCUGGCGGCGUGCUUAACACAUGCAAGUCGAACGGAAAGGCCCAAGCUUGCUUGGGUGCUCGAGUGGCGAACGGGUGAGUAACACGUGGGCGAUCUGAUCUGCACUUUGGGAUAAGCCUGGGAAACUGGGUCUACUACCGGAUCGGACCCUCGCUUAGUGUCGGAGGAGGAAAGCUUUUCGGGGUGGGGUGAGCUCGCGGCCUAUCGGCUUGUUGGUGGGGUAAUGGCCUACCACGGCGUCGACAGGUAGCCGGCCUGAGAGGGUGUACGGCCACAUUGGGACUGAGAGACGGCCCAGGCGCCUACGGGAGGAAGCAGUGGGGAAGAUUGCUCAAUGGGCGCAAGCCGGAUGCAGCGGCGCCGCGGGGGGUAUGACGGCCUUCGGGUUGUAAACACCUUUCGCCAAGGACGAAGCGUUUUGUGACGGUACUUGGAGAAGAAGCACCGGCUAACUACGUG
rnacentral:rRNA from 1 species